rfam:Drosophila virilis strain TSC#15010-1051.87 Ctg01_9557, whole genome shotgun sequence.
CAACCUCAACUCAUAUGGGACUACCCCCUGAAUUUAAGCAUAUUAAUUAGGGGAGGAAAAGAAACUAACAAGGAUUUUCUUAGUAGCGGCGAGCGAAAAGAAAUCAGUUCAGCACUAAGUCACUUUGUCUAUAUGGCAAAUGUGAGAUGCAGUGUACGGAACAUCAACAUUCUAGUAUGAGAAGUUAACGAUUUAAGUCCUUCUUAAAUGAGGCCAUUUACCCAUAGAGGGUGCCAGGCCCGUAUAACGUUAAUGAUUACUAGAUGGUGUUUCCAAAGAGUCGUGUUGCUUGAUAGUGCAGCACUAAGUGGGUGGUAAACUCCAUCUAAAACUAAAUAUAACCAUGAGACCGAUAGUAAACAAGUACCGUGAGGGAAAGUUGAAAAGAACUCUGAAUAGAGAGUUAAAUAGUACGUGAAACUGCUUAGAGGUUAAGCCCGAUGAACCUGAAUAUCCGUUAUGGAAAAUUCAUCAUUAGAAUUGUAAUAUUUUAAACAAUAUUAUAAUAAUAGUGUGCAUUUUUUCCAUAUAAGGACAUUGUAAUCUAUUAGCAUAAAUAUUUAUCAUAAAAUUAUGUCUGAUUGCUUAUUUGAAUUAUAUGCUUGGCAUUUUAACAUAAAAUAAAAGAUAUAAAUUUGAUAAAGUGCUGAUAGAUUUAUAUGAUUACAGUGCGUUAAUUUUUCGGAAUUAUAUAAUGGCAUAAUUAUCAUUGAUAUUUGUGUUUAUUAUAUGCAUUUGUAUGAUUAACAAUGCGAAAGAUUCAGGAUCCCUUUCGGGACCCGCUUGUACCCGGACCCAGGAGUCUACAUAUGGUGUCAGUUUUUGGGG